UUAAGUGAACAAGGGCAUACGGCGGAUGCCUUGGCGCCAAGAGCCGAUGAAGGACGCGGUAAGCUGCGAAAAGGCAUGGGUAGGAGCAAGCAUCCUGUGAUCCAUGCAUAUCCGAAUGGGGCAACCCACCAUCAGUCAUGUGAUGGUACGAAAGAGGCAGACCUGGGGAACUGAAACAUCUAAGUACCCAGAGGAAAAGUAAUCAAUUGAGAUUCCCUAAGUAGCGGCGAGCGAAAGGGGAAGAGCCCAAACCAUGAAACUUCGGUUUUGUGGGGUUGAGGACCGGCAUAAAGAGGAAACUUCUUAGUCGAAUGGUUUGGAAAGGCCAUGCACAGAAGGUAAAACACCUGUAGGCGAAAAGAAGUCAAUCGGGCUGGUAUCCAGAGUACUGCGAGACACGUGAAACCUUGCAGGAAGCAGGGGGGACCACCCUCCAAGGCAAAAUACUACUUGGCGACCGAUAGCGCAUAGUACCGUGAGGGAAAGGUGAAAAGAACCCCGGGAGGGGAGUGAAAUAGAACCUGAAACCGUAUGUCUACAAGCAGUCGAAGCACCUUAAGAGUGCGACGGCGUGCCUAUUGAAGAAUGAACCGGCGAGUUACAUUAUGUUGCGAGGUUAAGUGGGAGACACGGAGCCGAAGCGAAAGCGAGUCUUAAUAGGGCGACUAGUAACAUGGUGUAGACCCGAAACCGCAGUGAUCUAUCCAUGGUCAGGUUGAAGCGCAGGUAAAAAUGCGUGGAGGACCGAACCCGUGAGUGUUGAAAAACUUUGGGAUGAACCGUGGAUAGGGGUGAAAUGCCAAUCGAACGCGGAGAUAGCUGGUACUCCCCGAAAUAGCUUUAGGGCUAGCCUCAGGGAAGAUUAUAGACGGUAGAGCACUGAUCUGGCAAGGGGGCGUAAAGCCUACCGACCCUAGUCAAACUUCGAAUGGCUAUAAUUAAGACCCUGGGAGUCAGACUGCGAGUGAUAAGACCCGUAGUCAAGAGGGAAACAGCCCAGACCGCCGACUAAGGUCCCCAAUGCUGUACUAAGUGGAAAAGGAUGUAAGACUUCAUAAACAACCAGGAUGUUGGCUUAGAAGCAGCCACCAUUAAAAGAGUGCGUAAUAGCUCACUGGUCGAGAGGCCUUGCGCCGAAGAUGUCCGGGGCUCAAGUACAGAACCGAAGUCGCGGCAGGAUUAUAUAAUUCUGGGUAGGGGAGCGUUGUAUAUCCGACUGAAGGUGUACCGGAAGGAGCGCUGGAGGAUAUACAAGAGAGAAUGCCGGUAUGAGUAGCGAAAAGAACAGUGAGAAUCUGUUCCACCGAAAGCCUAAGGUUUCCUGAGCAACGCUCGUCGACUCAGGGUAAGUCGGGACCUAAGCCGAGGCAAAAAGCAUAGGCGAUGGACAACAGGUUAAUAUUCCUGUACCGCUUCAAAUCGUUUGAGCAAUGGAGUGACACAGAAGGUAGCUUGAGCACGCGAAUGGAUGUGCGUGUCGAAGGUGGUAGGUUGCAGUAUAGGCAAAUCCGUACUGUAUAAGACCGAGAACUGAUAGAUAGACGAUACUUCGGUAAAGUCAAAUUCAAGUGAGCCAUGCUGUCGAGAAAAGCUUCUAGUGAGAGAUGAGGCGCCCGUACCGAAACCGACACAGGUAGGCGGGGAGAGAAUCCUAAGGUGCGCGGGACAACCCUCGUUAAGGAACUCGGCAAAUUGUAUCCGUAACUUAGGGAUAAGGAUAGCCGGAGGAUGUGAAGGGAUUUACUUCUGGAGCGUCAGCCGGUGGCACAAGAGAGGCCCAAGCGACUGUUUAGCACAAACACAGGUGCCUGCAAAAGAGAAAUCUGACGUAUAGGUGCUGACACCUGCCCGGUGCUGGAAGGUUAAGAGGAGGGCUUAGAGGCAACUCGAAGGCUUGAAUUGAAGCCCCAGUAAACGGCGGCCGUAACUAUAACGGUCCUAAGGUAGCGAAAUUCCUUGUCGGGUAAGUUC
rnacentral:rRNA from 1 species